rnacentral:tRNA from 1 species
GCCCCGGUAGUAUAGUCCGGUUAAGUAUACGGGCCUCUCGAGCCCGUGACCCGGGUUCAAUCGGCCAGAUGGCCGGAACAGAUCCCGGCCGGGGCA